rnacentral:rRNA from 1 species
UACGUAGGUGGCAAGCGUUGUCCGGAAUUAUUGGGCGUAAAGCGCACGUAGGCGGUCCGCUAAGUCGGGUGUGAAAUCCCUCGGCUUAACCGAGGAAGUGCAUUCGAAACUGGCGGGCUUGAGUACUGAAGAGGGUCGCGGAAUUCCCGGUGUAGAGGUGAAAUUCGUAGAUAUCGGGAGGAACACCAGUGGCGAAGGCGGCGACCUGGGCAGAUACUGACGCUGAGGUGCGAAAGCGUGGGGAGCAAACAGG